UGGAGUGUGGCUCGGUGGUAGAGCACUUGCCUAGCAUGAACAAGACCCUGGGUCUGAUCCCCAGCCCUGCAA
rnacentral:tRNA from 1 species